rnacentral:lncRNA from 1 species
GUAGCCAAAUGUCUGCGGUCAUGCACUUCUUCAACCAUGAAAUAUACAGCUCUCAAACAUACAGUAUGAGGUAAUAAGUUAUACAUCAAUAUUAAAUAAAAGUAUAGAUAUGCAUUAUAGGUGUACCACUUGAGCUGAAUGCAUGGGUCACGGUUGAACACGGCUCAUAAAACACAGACAGCGCGCAAAACAGAGUGAAAAACAGAGGGUAAUGGAACCCAGGUAUACCACACUGAAGUUCAACCACAACAUUUCUAUGGAUCAACAAAGGUUAAAUAUUACAUCUCUUUUUUUCUUUCUCUCUCCAUCUAUUCAAAAGAAUUUCAUAAGUGAUAGACUAUUCAGUUCAGUUCAACUCCUUUCCGCUAAAUAAUACAACAUCGAUAUCAGGGAAUGCGGGUUCGCUCGGGUCAUUACGCAACACUUCAGUAGCAUCCAAUGCCGAUCUCCUGCUUGUAGCGGUUGGUGAGAGUGUUGGCCUGUUGCGUCAGCUUGGACAGCACCCCGUGAAGCCCUGUCAUGUGGAACUGGAACUGCUUUUGCAGGUUAACCUCGUCUUCCUCGGACGACACCUCCGAUUCUUCUUCCUCGGAAUCAAUCCGAGAGCUGGGACCCCGGCUCUCCUUGCGCUUCUCGGCUUCCCCGGCGCGCAUCACCCCCCACUCGAUGUCGCAGCGGAUGGACUUCAGGAGCUGGUAGUAGCUGUACAUGUCGCCGUCCUCGAUGUCGUUGUUUCCCGAGCUUUUGAGGACGGCCAUUUCCCUCUCUUCUUCCAGUGGGACGUCCCGCAGCAGGCUGGGCACCAUCACCGUCUGGUCCAUGUUGUUGACGGCUCCAAUGAAGCGAUUCAUGGAGUUGAACAGGGAGUUCUUCUGCAGGCCUAUAGUUUCUCGUCAACAGGGGGAGUCACCAGAGACGCUGCUGAGGGUUGCCCUGCGUAUAGAGGACUCACUGACAUGGUAAACAAAACACUACAACAAGCAGGCGAAAAUGAUCCAGCCCAGCCAGUCUGAAAGCUGAC